rnacentral:tRNA from 1 species
GGGCCAGUGGUCUAACCUGGAUUAGGACGCAAGCCUCCGAAGCUUGCUGUCCGGGUUCAAAUCCCGGCUGGCCCG